GGUCAGGUGGUGUAGUUGGUUAUCACGUCAGUCUAACAAUCGAGUGUCAGAACCGAUUGACAACACUGAAGGUCUCCGGUUCGAACCCGGGCCAGAUCA